GCUCUUUUGUCUCAAUGGGCAGAGACUGAAAGCAACCGCGGCUGCCCGGAGGUCCGAACUGGAGGGUGGCCGCAGCCGUGACUUCCUUGGGAACCGCGCUGCCUCGACUCGGCUACCUCUCUGCGAAGCACUCGCUAAGCCGGGCAGCCCCGGGGUCGCUUAGCGGCCCAGGAGGCGCCAGCGAUCCUGUUCCCCUGCAGAGCUAUGGGGACCGGAAGGCGAAACAGAGCUGUCGACGCGGGAGCAUACGCUGCCCACCAGUGGAGCGCAGGUAAAGAAAGAGCGCGCGAUUUCCCGGCGCGGAGAGGGGUGGGGGAAGCCCCACCAGGACUGGGCGGCGCCCGGCUUGGAGAAUCAGUAACUGCGAGGCAGGGGAUGGAGCACUCCCAUGGCCUGGUUGCGCUGAGAAAGGAGUUGUGGCUCAUCUGGAUGCUGCCGACUGGGUCAUCAAAGCCGAAUCCGAAUUUGAAUUCUGUGCGGCUGAUUGCAGAGCUGGUAGGCCGACGGUUUCCCGCAGGAAAUGUACGGGGGGCGGGAGUGCAGGAGGCACUUUGGCUUGUGUUCAGAAGAUGGGAGAGGGAAUUUUCCGCCUGGCGACAGAGGAGGCGGUGGAGGGGAGGUAUCAGGUUUUCAGAAGAGGCUGCUCCCAACCCUUCCUUUCCUUCCUUCGCGGCACAGUCUUGAGGCCCUGAGGACUGGGAUCUGCGACCCCCAGUGGACAAAAGUCGACUCUACCCCAGAGGCUAAUUUUCUCAAGGCAGGCACCUGUUGAGAGGCUGCAAGUAAAAUACAGGGGAACGCUAGUUUCCGAGCUCAUGUAAGAAUCUGAGAAAUAACGGGGGUAAACUUUGACAAAGGGGUGUGUGAUUGAGACCUGAGGUCAUGAGAUUAAUGGGUUCUUAUUACCUCUUGCGGGGGGAGGUAGUAAAGGGGAGGGGCAGGUGGCCUGUGGCGUCCUGAAGAUUUUUCAUGCAUUCUUUUUCCGAGAACUAAACAUUG
rnacentral:lncRNA from 1 species